rnacentral:lncRNA from 1 species
AUUUUUUUUUUAAGUUCAUUAGACCACAUUCAUUCUGUGUCAGAAACCUAUGCUGUGUCAACUAUUUAAUCACAAUCCAAAUUUAGAGCUGAAUCCAGCUUGAAUGUUGUGUCCAUACUUGCCCCAACCGUUCAGGGUUCAACCUCUGCGGUCGUAUAAAGCUGCGCCCUGCGGAGCAUCUGGUUUAAGUCCUUUUAUCAUUUGUUUUUUGUGUACCAUUACAAAAUGUAUAUUGAUUGAAAUGAGUUUUUAUUUUACAUUGGAACUUAUUUCUUCUACACUACAUGUUUUCGCAAAGUUUACCCCCAGAAUUAUUUGAAAACCAAUUCACUGCUGUUUUUUGUUGUCUAUACAAUGCUUUAGGUAUGAGUAUGUUUAUAGUUUGCACUGUUUAUGUUCUUUUUAUUUUGAAGAACACCUGUCUCUGUGCAUUUUUAGUCUUGUUCAGGAAUUUGAAAUCCCCUUUAAAAAGUUGGUUCCAUAUCGUGCACAUGCUAUGUUGAAUAUCACAAAUAUGUUGAUGUUCAUGAUCAUGAUUUCUCAAUACAUCCAAUUAAAUGCACAGUCAUAUUUUAGCUCCAGGACAGGCAAGGCAUAUUUCUUUGCUUAAUAUUUUUUCAGCAUAAUACUCGUGGGCUUUGGUGCAAUUUGUUCUAUAAGAUUUAGUUUGUGCUUUAAUUAUUAUAUUAUGUAUACAUGUAUUUCUUAAGUGUGUGAUUGUGUUUGUAUGUUUGUGUGAAAUGAAGUAGAUAAAUAUUUAAUGAAAACAAAUUUCUAAUUAUGUAACUUUGGUAAUACACAUCGAGUAAUUAGAAUUUAUCACUUAAUCAGUGAAUUAUGAAUGUUUUACUAAAAUAAAAGCUAAUUCUGCAGCAGAUUAUUUAAGAGCAAAGAUAUUGUUAUAAUUUGGGUGAUAAUUUAUAAUUACACCAUAUUCUUUCUGUUCCAUUGUAAUUAUUUCUCCUUUUACAUUUUUGAAAGUUUUAUAAUAAUAAAUAAGAGAAAAAGUUCGGGAUUCUGUCCUGAUUUACACACAUUUUUAAAAGGAAUAUUACCCUUGUUCAUAUCUUGUUUGUAUUAGUUUUGUAACAACGCUUCUUAAUUUAGUGCCAUCCUUAUUAGAAUAUAAACAAUCAAUUUAUGGACCUGCUACUUAAGGCAUGCUUUGAAUUGAUUGAUAUUUAUAGAGACUACAAAUGUUAUUUAUUUUAAUUUUCAACAUUGUACAUUUUAUAUGAGAGCUGAUCAUUCAUAUUUAUUCAUCCUUUUAAUAUACACUGUAUAAUCAAAUGAAUACGAUAUCCAACUACUUAAAAGAUUAAGAUACUAUAUCAUAUAUAACUUUUCAAUACCUUGCUAUCAAAAUCAAAUACAGAUUAUGAUAUACUGGUGUAAUUUGUUUAUUAUACAAUCAUAUAUACUAUAUAAAUCCCAUAAAUUUAUAUUUAGUUCCAGAAACUUUUGUUAUUACUAUAUUCAUAAGUGAAGUUUGUAAUUACAUAAACAUAUUGGUGAUUAUUGUUUUUUUGCAGUAGCCAAUUUUGGUUAUUGAAAAAGGUUGACGUUUCUGGGAUAUUUGGGGUUUAUCAAUUGCUAGUUGAGUUAAUGUGUCUUUAUAAAAGGUAGAUUUUGUUGAAGUUUUACAAUAAUUGAAUUAGUGUUUUUUUGCCUCCAAACCAACGAAUAAGUUCAAAAAUGUUUUACUGAGCAUGAAAAACCUUGCCUUUCUACAGUUUCUAUUUGUGUGAUCUUCUCUUAUAAUAUUAUUGAAGCAUUUUUAAUUUACCUCAAGAAACAAUCCUGAAAAAAAUCUGGUGAAGUCGAAACUUAUAAUUAAACCACAUUGUAUAAUUUUUUUUUUGAAAAAUGCAAAUGUCUGAAGUCAGAAUCAUUAUAGCCAGUGGAACACCAUGCAAUGUUCAUGUCUAUUGGUGCACAAAAGGUGUGGUUUUAGCUUCUUGAGAUUUGGAUGAAUAGAACGUAUUGGAUCAUAUUGCAUUAAAAGGCACAAAAA